rnacentral:rRNA from 1 species
UACGGGGGGGGCAAGCGUUGUUCGGAAUUACUGGGCGUAAAGGGCUCGUAGGCGGCCAACUAAGUCAGACGUGAAAUCCCUCGGCUUAACCGGGGAACUGCGUCUGAUACUGGAUGGCUUGAGUUUGGGAGAGGGAUGCGGAAUUCCCAGUGUAGCGGUGAAAUGCGCAGAUAUUGGGAGGAACACCAAUGGCGAAGGCAGCACCCUGGGCCGGUACUGACGCUGAGGAGCGAAAGCGUGGGGAGCAAACGGG